AUGAAGCACAGAGGGUGGAAAAAAGAUCCUAAAUGUUCCUUCUGUGCUGAAAAAGAAACAUCUCAACAUCUUUUCUUUACCUGUCCAGUGGCCAGGGUAACUUGGAGAGCGGUGGCCUGUAUGUUUGGGACUGACCUAUGCCCAAACAACAUGUGGCAAGUGUAUUCGUGGUGUCAUUCUUUCUUCCCAGAUGGGGAGGUGUUCUAUACUAUGGGCAUCACAGCCAUAUGCUGGGCGGUUUGGACGUGUCGCAAUAGAGCUACAUUUGAAUUUAUUCCUCUUAGAAGUCCAUUCGAAUGCACUUUCUCCACUUGUGCUCUUCUAUGUUACUGGGCAGGGCUGAUGAAGCAAUAAAGGGAUGCGGAUGACCUGAGGACUGGAGCGACCAUGCUGAAGAGCAAUGCCUCAAGGCUGAUGCAGAUCUAUGCCACAGCGUACCAGGAAGAUGGAGCUCGCUGA
rnacentral:rRNA from 1 species